UCUCUCUAGAGACUCUUGUGUACCUGAGGCCUUCUGAAGAAACUGGGAGUGGACAGAACCAGGACAGCUGACCGAAAUUGGACGAAGUGAUAUCCUAUACCUUAAGGCAACAUGCAGAGCUAUAAAACUGGAGGAAGUUGGCUGGGGGCAGCUGCUGCUCAGAGACUGGCUGUACGUCAAUCAGCAGGACAAAGCGGAUUUCUACGUGAAACAACCGUGCUGUUCUUGUUUGCCUAUUUUUCAUACCAUAAAAAGAAAAGUAAUUAGAAUUAGAUGAAGAGCUGAACAGACUAUGAGUUUCUUGCUGACAAGAACUUGGAAUAAGUAGCUGUAAGAUUGAAAACUGAAUAUUGUGGAAAUAGUGGAAAAACGAAACUCCAUAGUCUCAACAUACACUCUCAAAAUUUCAAUAAAUUUAAGAAAUAAAGACACUUGAAUUGCCAUACAUCAGUAUGCCUGCAAGCUAUUCGGAACUGCUGGCAGGCAUAUUAACGUUCGUUAUCUUCCAGGUUAUAAUCGAAGAACAAACUGGGGCUUACUACAUUAACCUGAGAGAGAGCAUAUUGACUGUGGAGAUUUAGGACAAUUACAAGGUGUUUAAAACAUUAGGAACGUCAUAUUGAAGCUUUCAUUAUUAAAGUGGGGUUGUAAUGAGAUAUCCCAGCUCACAGCUACAAAAUUGCAUUUUAAUGUAAAAUCAUGUUAAAUAGACACUACUUCUCAAGAGAGAAGCCUGAGGAAAGAAAACAAUUUACUGUGUUGUACUGCAUACAUGCUAAGAAAUUAGAAAAUCCUGAAGACGUGGAGCUGAUGAACUAACUUUACAUCUGUCAAAAACAUAUUCUGGUUGAAAAUAAUGUUUCCUUACUUUAUAAAAUAGUUAUUAUGGCUUACUUUUUCUAAUAAUUUGUUUGCAAACUAUUGUGUGUUUCACGACCUGUGUAUGUAUGUAACCUCUUGACCAGAGUACAAGGGUUGUGCUGUUACUUCUGAGUGAGAUACAAUGAAGUGGUCAGGCAGUUCAUUGGCAGCAUGAAGUGAAAGAUUACUAAGUGAUUAUUUUUGUUAUGUAAUGUUCAGACUGUGUUAUAUCUAGCUCAGUAAAUGCUCUGUAGAAGGUGAUUAAAUUAGUUUCUGUUGAUCUCUUCCGUCUUGAAUUGUGCGUGAGGUCAUAACUGCACUUGAAGUGAAAGCAUCUCCCAUAACACCAAGGGCUAAAUACUGGACCCAGCUCUGAUUUCACACUAGAGCUGCAUGCUUCACCUGUACUGGACAGAAUUAUGUUCUAGAAGUUCAGAAAACAAACUGUGUUUACCACACAAUGUUCAUCAGGUACUGAGAAAUCUGUUCUUCCCCAGAAAGAGAUAAAAAGAGCUGCAGAGAAGGACAAAUGAUACCCUGAUAACCACGAAUGCACACUGUCAGUGUCACCUCCUUCCAGGUAGAUGGGAGAGUCAGGAAUUUUGUCCCAUGGUAAAGGCUGUUCACAGAAACAGGAGGAUUUUACUUAUGCAUGUUUCUUGGAAGCACCUUGAAGAAAAGACUUGUCACUUGAAAGAGGCAGUGGCCACGUGGAAGAGUCAGAAUCAGUUUUCAUUUGCAACAUCUGGGAGUUUUUAUUUCAUAAAUAUUAUCUUCAAAAAAAAUCACAGAACAGUCAAAGGUGGAAGGGACCUAGGAGCCAUCAGGCCCAACCCUGGCUCCAGCAGGGACGCCCAGGACUGUAUCUGCGUGGCUACUGAAGGUCUCCAAGGAAGAGACUUUACAGCCUCUUUGAGCAACCUGUGCCAGCGCUCUGUCACCUGGAUAGGGAAAUUUAGCUGCAGUAUAUCUAUCCUAAGCAGAUGCUCUGGGGAAAAAUUUAAUAUAGGAGUUGGAAGUCAAAAAUAUACCUCAGAGAAAUACAAGCUACUCAUUUUAAGUACAUCCUGGUGAGCUGUUAACAAAUGCUGUGUGUCCCAAACUGAUGCAAUAACAAGCAACACUGCCAAAUGCUCUGAAUGACAGUCAUUUUUUGUAUGUUUAAACAAGGCUCAAAAUAACUGUAUUGCCCUGUAUUGUCAGUAUUUUAUUUAAUUAUCUGUAACAUAAAAGAAUAGCUUGGUUUAUUUUGGAUUACACUGAUUAGGAGACUACCAUGAAACACCACUUGGAAUAAUACAUCAUUACUUAAAAUGCAUACAGUUUGUUGUUUAUGUUAAUUUUAAGAGACCUUUAUAUUUUAGCAAAACAAUUUAUAAAUGUGUUGUGCAAAUAAUGCAAUUGUUUAAAUAUAUGUCAAUAAAGCCAAAUCUGGGACUGUGCAAAUAAACUGUCAAGGAAAAGAAUGUUUACAAUUUUCCUUACAUAAGAA